AUUUGCUAGGUCAUUCUGUAAUAAUAAUGCUGAUUCACCAAAAGGAAAGGCAACAUGUGUACAUAAGAACGAUAACACAGCAGUCUCCUUAACCACGGAAUCAUCUCUCCAGAGCUUGUUCCCGCCUGAUAGGGGUGAGUUCUGUUUCCUGCUGUGCUCCAGUGGUUUGCAGAUAUGAACUAGUACAACACAAAAAAGCCAGUCACUGAUGAAGACAGGACAGCGUCCCCACUUCACAUGCACCUGUAGGAGUUCAGCUGCAAGUAACAGGGAGUUCCAGCACCUUAGGCUGCUCUUGGGGGGGACGUCGAGGUGGCUGCCUGCUUCCCUGAGGCACGGGACACACGUGGCACGAGCGAGGGGGUCGGCGUCGGGAG
ensembl:lncRNA AC096301.1